GAUGAUUGUGAGGGCUCGGGCUGCCUGCAGGUCGGAGCUGAGGGCUAGCAUGGAGUCGUAGACCUUACACUGCAUUUGGCCCGUGCUCUGCACCAUACAGGUCAUCCAGAUGCCCUCCCACAUGGUCUGAGCUGUGAUGAUGUUGACCCCGAUGAAAGCAGACACCCUCCACAUGGGCAUGGCGCAGGACACGAUGCUUAAUAUCCAACCCAGGACAGCCAGGAUCACUCCCAAGAUCUCUAGUCCCAACACAGACAUUUUGUUGUUUUACCUUCCUUUUCCGACAACUGUGAUCACCUUGGUGUUGUUUGUGGCACGUUGAAGACAGACCCGUCCACAGAACUAACCAGUCAAACUCCUCGUCCGUCAAAGCAGACACGUCCUCCAGGCGAACGGAAGAACGACAGUCUAUAGCCCUCCAACCCCCAAGGACUGACGUCACCUAGCAAGCUCUACUCGACACCUCCCAUCUAUCUCUGAAUACCAUCCAGUCCCAUCCUUCAGCUCUACUCGACACCUCCCAUCUAUCUCUGAAUUACCAACCAGUCCCAUCCUUCAGCUCUACUCGACACCUCCCAUCUAUCUCUGAAUACCAUCCAGUCCCAUCCUUCAGCUCUACUCGACACCUCCCAUCUAUCUCUGAAUACCAACCAGUCUCAUCCUUCAGCUCUACUCGACUAUGACUUUUUUUUAAACCACCCAGCAGUGCUAUUUGCAGAGUUUGAUCCAUGUAAAUGUUGCAAUUCUUCAGCCAUUCCUGAACCUGCGACCAAAAACGACAUAUGGACAGUACCAAAACAAAUGAUCUAAUGAUUCUGUCUCUUCGAAAAACAAAAUCUGCACAGCUGGGAUGGUUGUAUCCCCAAUAUAUAUAGCAUUCUAUUGGUUGCAAGAAUUUUGUAUAAUAAUUUAAAUAGAAAAGUCGAAGUUUUGAAUCCAGCGUAGUUUUGUGUAUCAGUUCAUAAACCAUGUGCCUACUCUUUCCAAUCCAUAUGGCACAGCUUAAAUGAAACUGGUUUACUUUUUUAUUCAUCACAAUUUUAUUUAACCAAUUUUGGUCUUUAAUGCAGGGCCGACAGACAUGUUCCUCACUUUCUCCCCCUUCCACUUGGCUCUUCCAUUUUUUGCGAUAAUGCUGUAAUUAGUUGGUUGUAAUUUUGAGCAGACAUUUCCAUAUAUGUUUGUUAACUGCAUGUGUGCCAUAAUGUCUGAGAUGUUGUUCAUGUCAGUGUAAUGUUAAAGAUCCACUUAAUUCAAUUCAAUUUAAAUUAGGACACUGUGCUCAAAGGACUUGUCUGACAGUUCUUAUACCGAAAACAGUGAGUGUUGUAAUCACAAAGAACUUGAAUGGGUUUGUUGAGUUAAAAGUAAUAAUGUUGUGAGUUAUUUUAUAAGUGUACUAUUGUUGUUUUUUAAACACCUAUUUUCUCAACCACUAAAGUACCCUGUUUAUAUCCAUUAAUGUAAACUAAAAAUCCAUUAGGUUAGGAAUAUAUCAAUUGAGUUAUGUCUCCAUUUUGGCACUGUUUUAACAUUUUUCCUGUGAUCAUUGUAAAUAAACAGUACA